CUCAAGUAUGGAAGAGUUUUUGUAAUGCUCUCAGUGCCCCUGUGAGCCUGUCCUCUGGUUACCACCCUCAGUCCUAUGGGCAAAGUGAAGGCUGCAAUCACGAAUCGGAGGUGUCCCUACGGUGCAUCUGUUACAAAAACCCCUCCACCUGGUCUCAACAUCUUGGCUGGGUCCAGGAGAAUUUGGCGACAGACCAAGGAGGCUCUCCUAAGGACUGCUGACCAAAACAAAGAGGUAGCAGACCAACAUCGCUCAGAGGCGCCGAACUACCAAGUUGGCCAGAAGGUUAAGCCAGUUACCGGGAGUCCGCUCUGCCCACCUGCCAAACUCCCCCUUCCCGCCCGGAUUAUUGAUGACCAACCAGCCUAACCUGUUAACCGUAUCUUGGACGUUUGACGAAGAGGACGAGGAUUCCAGUAUCUGGUUGACUGGGAAGGCUAUGGACCAGAGGAACGAUCUUGGAUUCCUUGUUCCUUCAUAUUAGAUCCCACCCUUAUCUCGGAUUUCUACAGAGACCAUCCGGAGAAGCAGUGUGAAUCAUCUGGAGACGAUUCCUAGGAGGAGGGUGGAUUAUCCACGUGCCUCGGAUUAUCAGCCAUCAAGUGGAACCCUCGAAUCUGGAAGUAAAUAAGGAACCAAUCUUCUACCAUUGUCCAAAGGAUACUUCACCUGCCACCAAGCCACUCUGCCUGAAGAUCACUUUCUCUGGAAAAGUCUCUCCUCUGGUCUAUGCUGCUUGCCUUCAAAUAUCCUCAAGAUGUCCAUGAUCUUCACCAGUAAAUAAUGCUCACUUGAUCUUCACCUGUAAAUAAAUAUUCAUUUACCUUUGA